rnacentral:rRNA from 1 species
GGAAUAUUGGACAAUGGGCGAAAGCCUGAUCCAGCCAUGGCGCGUGUGUGAAGAAGGUCUUCGGAUUGUAACGCACUUUAAGUUGGGAGGAAGGGUAGUAACUUAAUACGUUGCUAUUUUGACGUUACUGACCGAAUACGCACCGGCUCACUGCGUGCCAGCAGCCGCGGUAAUACGAAGGUUGCAAGCGUUAAUCGGAAUUACUGGGCGUAAAGCGCGCGUAGGUGGUUGGUUAAGUUGGAUGUGAAAGCCCCGGGCUCAACCUGGGAACUGCAUCCAAAACUGGCCGACUAGAGUACAGUAGAGGGUGGUGGAAUUUCCUGUGUAGCGGUGAAAUGCGUAGAUAUAGGAAGGAACACCAGUGGCGAAGGCGACCACCUGGACUGAUACUGACACUGAGGUGCGAAAGCGUGGGGAGCAAAC